rnacentral:snRNA from 1 species
AUACUUACCUGGGCGGGGUCAAUGGGUGAUCAAGAAGGCCCAUGGCCUAGGUUGGCGACCUCCAUUGCACUUAGGAGGGGUGCCCGCCUAACAUCUCCCCAAGUGGGAGAAUGUACGUCAUAAUUUGUGGUAGUGGGGGGUACGCGUUCGCGCGGCCCCUAC